AUUACCAGUAUUUUUUAAUUAUUGCAAGAAAUUCCAUUGACUCAUUCACAAGUCAAAAAUGUGUUUUAUCUGAAAGAAACAUGCAAUAUUUACAUCUAAGAUCACAGAAAAAUAGUCAACCCAGUGCAAUGAUGUCCUCCAAGAUAAUAUUUGCCACUUUGUUUGCAGUAAACAAAGUUUGUUGUUGUUUUUCAGUUUCAGUUAUAUAUUGGGGGGCAUUUUGGGCAUUGGUGGGGGGGUGUGUCCCCCUCAAUGUAUAUGGUAACUACGGCCCUGUCAGCAUGCAUAAUAAGGCCUCAGUUGUCUGGGUGCGCAAAGGUGAAGUGGCUGGUCUUGUCAUACAAAGUUUGAUGGAGUGUCAACUGGACAAUAUGGAGAUAUUUGCAUCUUGAAAGCUGGACUACAAAUGUGGAUAGACAGGGAGAAACACACGCAAGCCUAAGACGUGCUUCCUCCAGUCAGCUGACUGAGAGCGUUCCCUUUCCUGGUUAGCCAAUCAAACGUUGCCACGACCUCCUUCAGCCAAUCACAUACUGCCACACUUUCAACCUGUUCUCCUCUCUGCUCCUGUCAGCUGGCAUUUUAGGGUGGAGUCCUCCCGCCCUCAUCCAUCCAGGUCACCUCCUACCACCUGAUCCAGUCCCUAAUAAACUGGAUAAAUAGCAAUCAGCCUGUCUGUGUGUGUGUGAUGAGCUGCAGCAGGUGUGAUUCCCCAAUCAACCACGUGACCGGGUUGCUGCUGCUCCAACAGAAAACUGGUGCUGACGUAUUGCGGUAAGCGAGUUGUGUCAUUUCCGGUGUUUCUGUGACAGCGUCUCUGUGCUGCUCUGGUGAAUUCUACGAGCCUGCUUUCUGCUUUCUUACUUCAGUUGCUUUAACAUCUACUUCAAGUCUUCAUCAUUUAAUCGCUGGCUGUCCAGGUGGUGUCCAGCAAACGAUGUGGGUUUCAUUAAUAAUUGGCAAACUUUCUGGGGAAAACCUGGUCUUAUUAGGAGAGAUGGCAUUCAUCCCACUUUGGAUGGAGCUGCUCUCAUUUCUAGAAACCUGGAAAAUUUUAUUAGUAAUUUAAAUCCCUGACAACCCAGAGUUGAGACCAGGACUCAGAGUCACAGUCCUAUACACCUCUCUGAGCUUCUAGUUCAGUUACUGAUGGACUUGGGGCUCAUCCUACUUUCCAAUGUGCUAUGUGUGAGCUCAGUCCUGCGUGUUCUUUAAUGAAGCAAUAGGAGAAGAUAUUCGGUCUCAGUUAAUGUAGUUUAUUAAGCAGUAAAGGAAUAAAAUUAGAGAGCUCUGGGUCUCAACUUCACGUCCCUGACGAACAACAAAGGUGUGUCAGUUCACGAAGUCUGACCUCCUGUCCUUUCCCUGACCCAGUAUAUUUGAGCGUA